rnacentral:rRNA from 1 species
ACUCAAAUGAAUUGACGGGGGCCCGCACAAGCGGUGGAUCAUGUGGUUUAAUUCGAAGCAACGCGAAGAACCUUACCUGGAUUUGACAUCCUCUGACAACCCUAGAGAUAGGGCUUCUGUAGCAAUACAGCAGAGAGACAGGUGCUGCAUGGCUGUCGUCAGCUCGUGUGGUGACAUGUUGGGUUAAGUCCCGCAACGAGCGCAACCCUUGUCCUUAGUUGCCAGCAUUAAGUUGGGCUCUCUAAGGAGACUGCCGUGGUUAACACGGAGGAAGGUGGGGAUGACGUCAAGUCCUCAUGGCCUUUAUAUCCAGGGCGACACACGUGAUACAAUGGACGGUACAAAGGGAUGCCAAGUGGUAACACGGAGCUAAUCUCAAAAAGCCGUUCUCAGUUCGGAUUGGAGUCUGCAACUCGACUCCAUGAAGUUGGAAUCGCUAGUAAUCGCGGAUCAGCACGCCGCGGUGAAUACGUUCCCGGGCCUUGCACACACCGCCCGU